rnacentral:rRNA from 1 species
GACGGAGGAUGCAAGUGUUAUCCGGAAUCACUGGGCGUAAAGCGUCUGUAGGUGGUUUAAUAAGUCAACUGUUAAAUCUUGAGGCUCAACUUCAAAAAUCGCAGUCGAAACUAUUAGACUAGAGUAUAGUAGGGGUAAAGGGAAUUUCCAGUGGAGCGGUGAAAUGCGUAGAGAUUGGAAAGAACACCAAUGGCGAAAGCACUUUACUGGGCUAUCACUGACACUGAGAGACGAAAGCUAGGGGGAGCGAAUGGG